UCCUUGUAGUUCAAAUGGCAAAGAAUCUGCCUGCAAUGCAGGAGACCCAGGUUCAAUUCCUGAAUCAGGAA
rfam:TPA: Bos taurus chromosome 7, whole genome shotgun sequence.